rnacentral:hammerhead_ribozyme from 1 species
GUGCUGCUGAAGAAUCCUACAAUUGGACGAAACGGCUGUCCAGUAC